UAGCUAGUUGGUGGGGUAAGGGCCUACCAAGGCGACGAUCGGUAGCUGGUCUGAGAGGAUGGCCAGCCACACUGGAACUGAGACACGGUCCAGACUCCUACGGGAGGCAGCAGUGGGGAAUAUUGGACAAUGGGGGCAACCCUGAUCCAGCAAUGCCGCGUGUGUGAAGAAGGCCUGAGGGUUGUAAAGCACUUUCAGUGGGGAGGAGGGUUAAUAGGUUAAGAGCUAAUUGAUUGGACGUUACCCACAGAAGAAGCACCGGCUAACUCCGUGCCAGCAGCCGCGGUAAUGCGGAGGGUGCAAGCGUUAAUCGGAAUUACUGGGCGUAAAGCGUGCGUAGGUGGUUAAUUAAGUUAUCUGUGAAAUCCCUGGGCUUAACCUGGGCAGGUCAGAUGAUACUGGUUAACUCGAGUAUGGGAGAGGGUAGUGGAAUUUCCGGUGUAGCGGUGAAAUGCGUAGAGAUCGGAAGGAACACCAGUGGCGAAGGCGGCUACCUGGCCUAAUACUGACACUGAGGCACGAAAGCGUGGGGAGCAAACAGGAUUAGAUACCCUGGUAGUCCACGCCGUAAACGAUGUCAACUAGCUGUUGGAUAUAUGAAUAUAUUUAGUGGCGC
rnacentral:rRNA from 1 species